AGGAAAAGAAACCAACAGGGAUUGCCUCAGUAACGGCGAGUGAAGCGGCAAAAGCUCAAAUUUGAAAUCUAGCACCUUCGGUGUUCGAGUUGUAAUUUGAAGAUGGUAACCUUGGGUUUGGCUCUUGUCUAUGUUCCUUGGAACAGGACGUCAUAGAGGGUGAGAAUCCCGUCUGAUGAGAUGCCCAUUCCUAUGUAAGGUGCUAUCGAAGAGUCGAGUUGUUUGGGAAUGCAGCUCUAAGUGGGUGGUAAAUUCCAUCUAAAGCUAAAUAUUGGCGAGAGACCGAUAGCGAACAAGUACAGUGAUGGAAAGAUGAAAAGAACUUUGAAAAGAGAGUGAAAAAGUACGUGAAAUUGUUGAAAGGGAAGGGCAUUAGAUCAGACUUGGUGUUUUACGAUUAUCUUCUCUUCUUGAGUUGUGCACUCGUAUUUCACUGGGCCAGCAUCGAUUCGGAUGGCAAGAUAAUGGCAGUUGAAUGUGGCUUCACUUCGGUGGAGUGUUAUAGCUUCUGCUGAUAUUGCCUGUCUGGAUCGAGGGCUGCGUCUUUUGACUAGGAUGCUGGCGUA
rnacentral:rRNA from 1 species